AUUUUUAUAAUUUAAUAAUAAAAUAUUAACUUUUAAAGUUAAAAACGCAAGUUUAAAUUUCGUUAAAAAUA
rnacentral:tRNA from 1 species